rnacentral:sRNA from 14 species
ACCGGUCUUUGGUCAAGGGUAUAUGAGCAGCUGCACUCUGCCACUAGAACCUUCAAACAAGCUCUCAGACAAGGGCAGCUUAUGUGCUGAUC